AUCUUUUUAGUAUAAUAGUACAUUUGGCUUCCAACCAAAAAGUUUAAUUUCUUAUUAGAAAAGAUA
rnacentral:tRNA from 1 species